rnacentral:snRNA from 11 species
AUCCUAGUCCAGGGGCGUUACCCAUCUCCGUGAAGCGAUGAGCUGAGAGUGGUUUUUGCUGAUUGAAAGCUAUAUGCUGACCGCUCCUACUUGGGUUCGCCUAGGUAGGGAAUUUUUGGAACACUUUUCCUUUUGGAAUCAUUUUCUUUCACUGCGAUCGGUCCUAUAUGGACUGACGUACAGAAGG